GCCGGUUUGCUGGAAUCGGCAGACGGGGCGGACUCAAAAAUCCGUUGGUAGUGAUACCGUGUGGGUUCAAGUCCCACAACCGGCACCA
rnacentral:tRNA from 1 species